CAUCAUCCAUGCAGCUGCUCUGCUUCCAAGCACAGUCCUGCCCUGCGGGCAGCAUAGCUGUGUUUGUUUGAGGUGGCACUGGGUGAAUUUGGGUGAAUGUAAUCUGCUGAACUCGUGCUGGCCCUGCAGAGAGCUGCGAAAUCUCCACUGCAGUGUCACAAGUCUUGCAAAGACCACACAAUGAAGUUGCAAACAAAUGAAUCUCAACAGCAAUUCAGAAAAUCUACUUAGGAGUCACAUCUUCACUGGCUUCAUCUUGUUGAUCUUGAUUUUGUCUGGAAUUAGCUACAGAUUAAUCUGGUUUGUACUGUGAAUCUAUGCAGAAUCCUACAAAUCGUGUGAAACUAAGUUUAAUGCCAAGAACUCUCCAGGAGUGAAAAUCUGUCAAUAUUCCAAUAGAGAAGAUGGAGCUGCAGUCGUGUGAUAAAGAUCUUCUAUUCCAGAAGUCUUUAAAAGUACACAAACUUUACCAAGGAUUUCUAUGAGGAUGCGGUGGAUGUCCUUUUCAAGGAUUAUCCUGAUUUCAGGCACAGAGUCCCUUUCCAGAAACAAUACUAAACAUCUUGUUCAUCUGCUUUGCACAGAAGGGGGAAGAAGUCUUUAUGGCAAAGACAAACUGCAGACUCAACUCUUUGUGUGGAUGUGUGUGUGCGCGUUAAAAUCUGCUGAAAAGCUAUUUAUGGAUUUGGGGGAGAAUGCAUUCAUUCCAUUUUUAUGGAGUUAAUGAAAUCUUAGCUUUUUCUUUCUUUAAAUACAAAGUUCUGUGGGAAAAAAAAAAAAAAAAAGGACUAAGUAGGAAUGAUAAGUAAACAACAGAAGUAAAAAGGCUUCUUUUAGUUUUGGGGAGUUGUUCUAUUAUUGCAUUUUAAAUAUCAUAAUAAUCUUCUUUCAUUUCCUCUGUGAACACUUCCCCAAUUUUCAUGUGCUGUUAUGUUUUAAAGCUUUUUGACCAGCAAAUGAAAGUCUUCUGAUGUCAUUCAUGCUUUGAAUACUUUGUUGGCUCAGAGUCUUGGUAUCUGAACUGUCACCAGCUGUAGGAGUGCAUUUCUGAGUGCCUUACACUUUUGGAAUGGACUGUAAAACUGUGAACCACAGAAAAACUCCAUCCAUUCUAUGUUGGACUGAGGAUUAAUGUUUUCAAAUUUCUUCUAGUACAUGAUCUAUAAAGCUUAGUAUUAUUUCCAUGGUUGUUCACACAUUGGCUAAACCAGCAAUCUCAGCAUCCUAAGCAGGGAAGCUGCAAAUUUGGGCAGGCAUUUUGGCUACUUGUUAUCAUUAUUUCAUAGGUAGAAUCGUCCUAUUUAUUGACUAGUAAAACAGCAAAUAUUCUUCAGUGAAAAAGCUUAAAGAGAUUUACCUUUGCUGUUGUCCUUUACAUGAUCCUAACGUUAAGACAGACCUCACAAGUUAAAACUAGCACAUAAAGUACAGUAAGAAUUUCCUGGGUUCCACCCUGCUGUUCUGUAUCCUUGUCCAUACCUCUAAUCAUUUAAAUUGAGCUUAGCUCUAUAAAGCUAAACCCCGUGUAUAUUUGAAUUUGAUAAUAUUGUAUUUCUUUUACAAAAAUCCAGUACAUUUCAAGCAAUUAUUUUAGAAGCAAGCAUAGGAAACUUUUGAUUAUGUAUGAGCAUAUGUUGCUGUAGCUUCCUUUUUUAAAGAAAUAAUUGAACAUUA